rnacentral:rRNA from 1 species
AACGAACGCUGGCGGCGUGCUUAACACAUGCAAGUCGAGUGCGUAGUUCCCGUAGCAAUACGGGGACGGGCGCACGGCGCACGGGUGCGUAACACGUGGGCAAUCUGCCCUCCGAUGGGGAAUAACCCCGCGAAAGCGGGGCUAAUUCCGCAUAACAUUCCUUGGACUUCGGUUCGGGGACUCAAAGCAGUGAUGCGUCGGAGGAGGAGCCCGCGCCCGAUUAGCUAGUUGGUAGGGUAACGGCCUACCAAGGCGAUGAUCGGUAGCUGGUCUGAGAGGAUGAUCAGCCACACUGGAACUGAGACACGGUCCAGACUCCUACGGGAGGCAGCAGUGGGGAAUCUUGCACAAUGGGCGAAAGCCUGAUGCAGCAACGCCGCGUGGGGGAUGAAGCUUUUCGGAGUGUAAACCCCUUUCGACCGGGACGAAUGCCCGCAAGGGACUGACGGUACCGGUAUAAGAAGCCCCGGCUAACUACGUGCCAGCAGCCGCGGUAAGACGUAGGGGGCCAGCGUUGUUCGGAAUUACUGGGUGUAAAGGGUUCGUAGGCGGUGCGGCAAGUUGGGAGUGAAAUCUCUGGGCUUAACUCAGAGGCUGCUUCCAAAACUGCUGUGCUUGAGUGUGGGAGAGGCGCGUGGAAUUGCAGGUGUAGCGGUGAAAUGCGUAGAUAUCUGCAGGAACACCCGUGGCGAAAGCGGCGCGCUGGACCACAACUGACGCUGAGGAACGAAAGCUAGGGGAGCAAACAGGAUUAGAUACCCUGGUAGUCCUAGCCCUAAACGAUCAGGACUUGGGGUGCCGCCCGUUCGGGCGUCGUCCCGGAGCUAACGCGUUAAGUCCUGCACCUGGGGAGUACGGCCGCAAGACUGAAACUCAAAGGAAUUGACGGGGGCCCGCACAAGCGGUGGAACAUGUGGUUCAAUUCGACGCUACGCGAGGAACCUUACCUGGGCUCGAAAUGCUUAUGACCAGCUGUAGAA